rnacentral:ribozyme from 1 species
AAAAAUGAAUGAACGUUCUUGAUUGUAUCAAAAAAGUGAAAGAAAGAAGAGAAGUGGAUAUUUCUCUUUCAGUCUCUACUUCUUCGUCUUUCCCUUUCUAUUUCGUCUUUCCUUCUCUAACUCCAAG